CCUACGGGAGGCAGCAGUGGGGAAUMUUGCGCAAUGGGGGAAACCCUGACGCAGCGACGCCGCGUGGRGGAAGAAGGCCUUCGGGUUGUAAACUUCUUUUGCAGGGGAAAAGAGAGGACGGUACCCUGCGAAUAAGCCCCGGCUAACUACGUG
rnacentral:rRNA from 1 species